GACGAACGCUGGCGGCGUGCUUAACACAUGCAAGUCGAACGAUGAAGAAAAGACUCGAAGCUUCGGCAGAAAUUCAUUUCGGAUUAGUGGCAGACGGGUGAGUAACGCGUGAGCAACCUACCUCUUACAAAGGGAUAGCCUCGGGAAACCGGGAUUAAUACCAUAUAACAUUGCGACGAAGCAUUUCGAUGCAAUCAAAGCUACGGCGGUAAGAGAUGGGCUCGCGUCCCAUUAACCGGAUGGUGAGGUAACGGCUCACCAUAGUGACGAUGGGUAACCGGCCUGAGAGGGUGAACGGUCACACUGGAACUGAGACACGGUCCAGACUCCUACGGGAGGCAGCAGUGGGGAAUAUUGCACAAUGGAGGGAACUCUGAUGCAGCGACGCCGCGUGAGUGAUGAAGGAAUUCGUUUCGUAAAACUCUGUUCUGUGGGAAGAAAAGGACUGUACCAUAGGAGAAAGCGCCGGCUAAAUACGUG
rnacentral:rRNA from 1 species